UUUCAGACACCUCUGGCACUGCUCUCCAACAUGACAUCCACCUGUGUGAAGAUGAUUCACUCCCUCUAUGAGGACGAAGGUACCAUCAGAGGUAAACAAAAAUCAUUUCAUAGAACGAAGCAAAUCUCAACAUCACAAACCGAUGACAAUCUACUACUUAUUUAUGAAGGUGCUAAUGUUUUGCUUAUAUUUGAUUUUGUUGUUUCAAAACUUAUGUUUAAAACACUUAAUGUCAUAGGAGGGGGUAACAUUUGUAUCUAUAGGUAAACAGCAUUAUGUCCCAAAGAGAGUUUGUAUUGACUAUUUUCUUUUAUAUAUUUUUUUAUAUAUUUGUUUUUAUGUGUUGUUUUUUGUGUUGUUUUUUCUUACUUUCACAUGAAUGCUAUUACUCUUGCUUCUAAAACCUAUACUUAAAGUGACAUGUUAUUUAUGACAAACAAGUAUAUAUAUAUAUUUUUUUUUACAUAUCUCCGCAUUUAUCAUUAUAAGCUUCACCAGUUUGAACCAGUCUGAAUGUAGCACAGACGAGAAAGUGAUUUAUUACCUGCAGGUGAGAAAGUAAACAUAUCCAUGUUGUUAUUUAUUUAUUGCUUACAUGCACAAAUUCAUGUCCUUGCAUCAGGUUUGUACAAACAAAUUAUUUGUCCCUGUAAUGUACCUUCAAUGCAUGGAAGGUCGAUUUACAGAAUGAAUAGCAGUAAGCACAUACAGUAAUUAUAUACGUUAUUGGAGCUGGUAUUGUCUUUAAUAAACUUGUGCUUUAUUUCCUUUUAUGAUAUUUUGUAACUUCUUAUGACAUGUUUUCUUUGCCAAAAUGUGCAAGUAUGCAAUCAGUUUAUUCAUAUUCCUUUAAAACACCUGCAGUCCCAGAUAGUAUCCCUUCCAUGUUCCUGCUGUCUGCUAUUAAAAGCUUAAUUGAUUAUAUAGUCAGUGAUUUAAGAAUUGGCAUAACUCCACACAGAGGGAGUAAAGCCCCCAUAAAUAAACUUACCUGGUAUAUGAA